rnacentral:misc_RNA from 1 species
GAUGAAGAACGUAGCGAAAUGCGAUAAGUAAUGCGAAUUGCAGAAUUCAGUGAGUCAUCGAAUCUUUGAACGCACAUUGCGCCCUGUGGUAUUCCGCAGGGCAUGCCUGUUCGAGCGUCAUUUAAACCUUCAAGCUCAGCUUGGUGUUGGGUGACUGUCCGCUUCACCGCGGACUCGCCUCAAAAUUAUUGGCGGCCGGUACAUUGGCUUCGAGCGCAGCAGAAACGCGAACUCGGGCCCGUCGUAUUGGCUCCCAGAAGCUAUCUUCACAAUUUUGACCUCGGAUCAGGUAGGGAUACCCGCUGAACUUAAGCAUAUCAAUAAGCGGAGGA